AAUAUUGGGACAUAUAAAAAAAGACAACUCUGUUUCGCAGAGUAGCUGUUGACAUUAUAGGUGCACAGGAACUUUGUUGACUCUAGAGAACCUCGGGCAAAUCGCACAUCUCCGUGGCGGCGACUUUGCAUGCGAAUGUCAUCCAUAUCAACUUUCUAUGCCAGUUUCCUCGCCUACCAUGGUGACCACGGGCAACGGGGAAUUAGGAUUACAUUCCAUACAGGGACCCUGAGAAACGGCUACCACAUGCAAGGAAGGCAGUAGGCGCGCAAAUGACCCACUCCUGACGCGCGAAGGUAGUGA